rnacentral:sRNA from 1 species
CAGGCGUGAGCCACCGCGCCUGGCCAUUGAAAUAAUUUCUAAAUGAAAAAGUUUAAAGAAAGUGGGAGGCCGGGUGCGGUGGCUCACGCCUGUGAUCCCAGCACUUUGGGAGGCUGAGGCGGGUGGAUAACCUGAGGUCAGGAGUUCGCGACCAGCCUGACCAAAAUGGAGAAACCUUGUCUCU